rnacentral:rRNA from 1 species
AACGUAGGUGGCGAGCGUUAUCCGGAUUUACUGGGCGUAAAGCGUGUGCAGGCGGCUUAUCAAGUGGUGUAUGAAAUAUCCAGGCUCAACCUGGAGGGGUUAUGCCAGACUGGUAGGCUAGAGUGCGAGAGAGGGGCGUGGAAUUCCGGGUGUAGUGGUGAAAUGCGCAGAUAUCAGGAGGAACACCGAUGGCGAAGGCAGGUCUCUGGGCCGAUACUGACGCUGAGGAGCGAAAGCGUGGGGAGCGAACAGG